rnacentral:rRNA from 1 species
AUGAUAGCACCAGGAAAUUCUUUGUCCUUGAAUCAAGGUAUUCAGGAAGAACAGGUUGUUCCGGCUAGAUACCGUCAAGAAUUCUGGACUAUUGCAUGGGAACAGAUUCAUGUUAGAAAUAUUUUUCCUUUCCCAUAUUUUUCUAUUGGGGUUCUCUCAUUCCUUUUAGUGAGCACAAUGAUGCGAAUUGGGCUUUAA